rnacentral:rRNA from 1 species
UACGGGGGGGGCAAGCGUUGUUCGGAAUUACUGGGCGUAAAGGGCUCGUAGGCGGCCAACUAAGUCAGACGUGAAAUCCCUCGGCUUAACCCGGGAACUGCGUCCGAUACUGGAAGGCUUGAAUCCGGGAGAGGGAUGCGGAAUUCCAGGUGUAGCGGUGGAAAUGACGUAGAUAUCUGGAGGAACACCGGUGGCGAAGGCGGCAUCCUGGACCGGCAUUGACGCUGAGGCGCGAAAGCUAGGGUAGCAAACGGG